rnacentral:rRNA from 1 species
UAGGGAAUCUUCGGCAAUGGGGGGAACCCUGACCGAGCAACGCCGCGUGAGUGAAGAAGGUUUUCGGAUCGUAAAGCUCUGUUGUUAAGGAAGAACGAGUGUGAGAAUGGAAAGUUCAUACUGUGACGGUACUUAACCAGAAAGGGACGGCUAACUACGUGCCAGCAGCCGCGGUAAUACGAAGGUCCCGAGCGUUGUCCGGAUUUAUUGGGCGUAAAGCGAGCGCAGGCGGUUAGAUAAGUCUGAAGUUAAAGGCAGUGGCUCAACCAUUGUAGGCUUUGGAAACUGUUUAACUUGAGUGCAGAAGGGGAGAGUGGAAUUCCAUGUGUAACGGUGAAAUGCGUAGAUAUAUGGAGGAACACCGGUGGCGAAAGCGGCUCUCUGGUCUGUAACUGACGCUGAGGCUCGAAAGCGUGGGGAGCGAACAGG